rnacentral:rRNA from 1 species
GAUGAACGCUGGCGGCGUGCCUAAUACAUGCAAGUCGAGCGAACAGAUGAGGAGCUUGCUCCUCUGACGUUAGCGGCGGACGGGUGAGUAACACGUGGAUAACCUACCUAUAAGACUGGGAUAACUUCGGGAAACCGGAGCUAAUACCGGAUAAUAUAUUGCACCGCAUGGUUCAAUAGUGAAAGACGGUUUUGCUGUCACUUAUAGAUGGAUCCGCGCCGCAUUAGCUAGUUGGUAAGGUAACGGCCUACCAAGGCAACGAUGCGUAGCCGACCUGAGAGGGGGAUAGGCCACCCUGGAAGUGGACCAGGGUCCAGGCUCCUAAGGGAGGCAGCAGUAGGGAAUCUGCGGCAAUGGGCGGAAGCAUGACGGAGCAACGCCACGUGAGUGAUGAAGGUCUUCGGAUCGUAAAACUCUGUUAUUAGGGAAGAACAAAUGUGUAAGUAGCUAAGCACGUCUUGACGGUACCUAAUCAGAAAGCCACGGCUAACUACGUG